GAACCUACCACAGCAGCACCACCUACAACAUCAGUGACAACUGAGGAACCUACCACAGCAGCACAACCGACAACGUCAGUGACAACUGAGGAACCUACCACGGCAGCACCACCGACAACGUCAGUGACAACUGAGGAACCUACCACGGCAGCACCACCUACAACAUCAAUGACAACUGAGGG